rnacentral:rRNA from 1 species
CACAUGCAGUCGAGCGGAUGACAGGAGCUUGCUCCUGAAUUCAGCGGCGGACGGGUGAGUAAUGCCUAGGAAUCUGCCUGGUAGUGGGGGACAACGUUUCGAAAGGAACGCUAAUACCGCAUACGUCCUACGGGAGAAAGCAGGGGACCUUCGGGCCUUGCGCUAUCAGAUGAGCCUAGGUCGGAUUAGCUAGUUGGUGAGGUAAUGGCUCACCAAGGCGACGAUCCGUAACUGGUCUGAGAGGAUGAUCAGUCACACUGGAACUGAGACACGGUCCAGACUCCUACGGGAGGCAGCAGUGGGGAAUAUUGGACAAUGGGCGAAAGCCUGAUCCAGCCAUGCCGCGUGUGUGAAGAAGGUCUUCGGAUUGUAAAGCACUUUAAGUUGGGAGGAAGGGUUGUAGAUUAAUACUCUGCAAUUUUGACGUUACCGACAGAAUAAGCACCGGCUAACUCUGUGCCAGCAGCCGCGGUAAUACAGAGGGUGCAAGCGUUAAUCGGAAUUACUGGGCGUAAAGCGCGCGUAGGUGGUUCGUUAAGUUGGAUGUGAAAUCCCCGGGCUCAACCUGGGAACUGCAUUCAAAACUGUCGAGCUAGAGUAUGGUAGAGGGUGGUGGAAUUUCCUGUGUAGCGGUGAAAUGCGUAGAUAUAGGAAGGAACACCAGUGGCGAAGGCGACCACCUGGACUGAUACUGACACUGAGGUGCGAAAGCGUGGGAGCAAACAGGAUUAGAUACCCUGGUAGUCCACGCCGUAAACGAUGUCAACUAGCCGUUGGGAGCCUUGAGCUCUUAGUGGCGCAGCUAACGCAUUAAGUUGACCGCCUGGGGAGUACGGCCGCAAGGUUAAAACUCAAAUGAAUUGACGGGGGCCCGCACAAGCGGUGGAGCAUGUGGUUUAAUUCGAAGCAACGCGAAGAACCUUACCAG